rnacentral:rRNA from 1 species
CCUACGGGAGGCAGCAGUGAGGAAUCUUCCACAAUGGACGCAAGUCUGAUGGAGCAAUACCGCGUGCAGGAAGACGCUUUUCGGAGUGUAAACUGCUUUUGUCGUCGAAGAUUAUGACUGUAGACGAAGAAUAAGGACCGGCUAACUACGUGCCAGCAGCCGCGGUAAUACGUAGGGUCCAAGCGUUAUCCGGAAUUACUGGGCGUAAAGCGUACGCAGAUGGCGUAAUAGGUGAGUUGUGAAAUCUUGUGGCUCAACCAUAUAGACUAUGACUCAAACCAUUACACUAGAGGUUGGUAGAGGCAAGCGGAAUUCCCGGUGUAGCAGUGACAUGCGUAGAUAUCGGGAGGAACACCAAUGGCGAAGGCAGCUUGCUGGGCCACACCUGACGUUAAGGUACGAAAGCGUGGGGAGCGAACGGGAUUAGAUACCCCGGUAGUCCACGCCGUAAACGAUGGAUACUAGUGGUAUGGAGAUUCGACCCUCUGUGUCACGAAGCUAACGCGAUAAGUAUCCCGCCUGGGGAUACGAACGCAAGUUUAAAACUCAAACGGAAUUGAACGGCUGAGACGNGCGACGACGACGACGAGGGAGAGG